CAGUCGCCACGGUAAUACAGAGGGUGCGAGCGUUAAUCGGAUUUACUGGGCGUAAAGCGUGCGUAGGCGGCUUUUUAAGUCGGAUGUGAAAUCCCUGAGCUUAACUUAGGAAUUGCAUUCGAUACUGGGAAGCUAGAGUAUGGUAGAGGGUGGUGGAAUUUCCUGUGUAGCGGUGAAAUGCGUAGAUAUAGGAAGGAACAUCAGUGGCGAAGGCGACCACCUGGACUGAUACUGACACUGAGGUGCGAAAGCGUGGGGAGCAAACAGGAUUAGAUACCCGCGUAGUCCCUGUCUCUUAUAC
rnacentral:rRNA from 1 species